rnacentral:tmRNA from 1 species
GCCGGAUACACGCGUAGACGCUCGGGUGACGCCAUUUCGGACAGGGGUUCGACUCCCCUCACCUCCACCA